rnacentral:rRNA from 1 species
AGCACGUUAUGGUGGCGACUCUAAGGAGACUGCCGGUGACAAACCGGAGGAAGGUGGGGGAUGACGUCAAGUCAUCAUGGCCCUUACGGCCUGGGCUACACACGUGCUACAAUGGUCGGUACAAAGGGUUGCCAAGCCGCGAGGUGGAGCUAAUCCCAUAAAACCGAUCGUAGUCCGGAUCGCAGUCUGCAACUCGACUGCGUGAAGUCGGAAUCGCUAGUAAUCGUGAAUCAGAAUGUCACGGUGAAUACGUUCCCGGGCCUU